AUUUAAAAAUUAAAAGGAUGAUUGGUAGCACAAUUUCAUAUGUGUAAUGAUCAAAUUUGAUCUUCAAAAUGCGAGUUUUUAGCACUUAAUUGCAAAAUUACAGACACUCUAAGUAUCUCUCCUCUAUAUUUGAAUGACAACUGCUUCUAGUUUUUCUGUUGAAACAUUUUCUGACCCAACUUGUAAGAGUGAUUUUACAAAGAGAAUGAUAUUUUGAUGAAACAGAGAGUCAAAAUGCAUAAUGGUUCACAUAAUAUGAAGUUUUCGUUCUUGUUCAUGUACCAGCCCAGGUCAGGUUUCUAUAGGCUGGAUUUUGAUGUUGUUGGAAGAACAUCCAUUGUCAUGCCAUUGAGCUUGGUCAAGGUGGCUGUGGAACAGUUGUGCGGCCUACACCUGUGGAUGCAACAGUUGUGAAGGCUGGGAAAGGAACCCAAGAUCAUAACACUGAGCAGAGACAGAAGUCACACAGCACAAAAUCCAUUGAUGAGGACACACCAUAAUAUUUUUAUGAGCCUGAUUUUCCCUUGGAAUUUGGCAAUAGCAUUCACUUCAUAGAAACACUCCCAAAAGAAGACUUUCAG
rnacentral:lncRNA from 1 species